rnacentral:lncRNA from 1 species
UGUCACUCCUGACAUCUCUGCCCACAGCCUCUGCCCCAUCCAUCCUGCAACCAGGGACCCGAUUAACCUCCUAAGCAGCAGUUGAUCAAAACAUUCCUUUAUCUGAAACCUUCUAUGGUUCCUUAUUGCCAUUAAGAUUCCUUAACAUGGAAUGCUUUCAGGGCUCCAGAAUCUGUCCCCAGAUUUUCCUUCAAUUAUUCAUCUUGCUGAGCUCUUCAGACUCCAACUAAUUUACUCACUGUCCCCAAAACAUGCCAAACAUUUUCCCACCUCUGAACUUUUACAUGACACUAACAUUAGACCCUCAUUAUUGACUCUUCUAAACGUUCCCCAUAUUUCAAAACUGAGCUCCAAGCCACCUCUGUGAAAUCAUCCGUAAACACAUCAGCUAUUCCUCCAAUUUUGAGUGUAUACUUGUUUGUUGCUUUUGCAUAAUAUGUAAUGCCUCCUCUAGCAAGGGAAUCACAGGAGAGUUUCUCCCAAAGUCAUGCAUUUCCCCAAAAAGAAUGCUGUCUGUUCCGGAGCUACUACUGUUGUGAGCAACUAAAAGUUGUCUUCCUUGGGCUCUCUCAUAGUAGUCCCUGCCCCUCUUUUCCUCAUGAGACUAUGUCAAGGCUAAUGUGAAAAUACUUCAUGCACUGUUGCCAAUGUAUGUUAGGGAUGAGCAUAAAACAACAGACAAGGGGAAA